CCUAGUAACGGCGAGUGAAGCGGGAAGAGCUCAAAUUUGAAAUCUGGUAGCCUUCGGUUGCCCGAGUUGUAAUCUAGAGAAGUGUUUUCCGCGUUGGCCCAUGUACAAGUCCCUUGGAACAGGGCGUCAUAGAGGGUGAGAAUCCCGUCCUUGACAUGGACCCCCAAUGCUUUGUGAUACACUUUCAACGAGUCGAGUUGUUUGGGAAUGCAGCUCAAAAUGGGUGGUGAAUUCCAUCUAAAGCUAAAUAUUGGCGAGAGACCGAUAGCGAACAAGUACCGUGAGGGAAAGAUGAAAAGCACUUUGGAAAGAGAGUUAAACAGUACGUGAAAUUGUUGAAAGGGAAACGAUUGAAGUCAGUCAUGCUCUUUGGAUUAAGCCGUUCUGCGGUGUAUUUCAUUGAGCGGGGUCAACAUCAGUUUUGAUCGCUGGAAAAGGGCAGGAGGAAGGUAGCACUCUCGGGUGAACUUAUAGCCUCUUGUCGUAUACAGUGAUUGGGACUGAGGAACGCAGCAUGCCUUUUGGCCGGGAUUCGUCCACGUACAUGCUAGGAU
rnacentral:rRNA from 1 species